CCAGCAGCCGCGGUAAUUCCAGCUCCAAUAGCGUAUAUUAAAGUUGUUGCAGUUAAAAAGCUCGUAGUUGGACUUCUGGAUGCGAUGGCCGGUCCGCAGCAAGUCUGUGUGUACUAGGUGGUUGCAUCCAUGCUCACGGGGGUGCGUCUGUCGGGAGACCGUCGGGCGUUGAUCCGUGUCAUUUACUGUGAAAAAAUUAGAGUGUUUAAAGCAGGCAUAUGCCUUGAAUACAUUAGCAUGGAAUAAUAAGAUAGGACUUUGGCCUAUUUUGUUGGUUAUUAUGCCAAGGUAAUGAUUAAUAGGGAUAGUUGGGGGUAUUCAUAUUUCAUUGUCAGAGGUGAAAU
rnacentral:rRNA from 1 species